GGGAAUGUGGCUUAGUGGUAGAGCGCUUGCCUAGCAUGCAAGAAACCCUGGGUUUAGUUCCUCAGUACUA
rnacentral:tRNA from 1 species